UACAGAGGUCCCGAGCGUUGUUCGGAUUCAUUGGCGUAAAGGGUGCGUAGGCGGUUUGCUAAGUUUGAUGUGAAAUCCCGGGGCUCAACCCCGGAAUUGCAUUGAAUAUUGGUGAACUAGAGUACUGGAGAGGAAACUGGAAUUUACGGUGUAGCAGUGAAAUGCGUAGAGAUCGUAAGGAAGACCAGUGGCGAAGGCGAGUUUCUGGACAGUUACUGACGCUGAGGCACGAAGGCCAGGGGAGCAAACGGG
rnacentral:rRNA from 1 species